AGAAGAGGGUGUCCAGGAAUUACACUUGGGGUAGCAUCCAUGGAACUUGCAUUGUCAAAUCUUCUUUAUUCAUUUGAUUGGGAAUUACCUUAUGGGAUGAAAAAAGAAGACAUUGACACAGAUUUUAAGCCUGGACUUGCCAUACAUAAGAAGAAUGAUCUUUGUCUUGUCCCUAAAUGUUAUAUGUAGAUUGUAAGUCUUCA
rnacentral:misc_RNA from 1 species